UUAAAGCAGGCAUGUCCAAACCCACCACACCACUUGCGUGUGUGUUUUAGGCGAUUUUUUUUUUAGUUUAAAAAUAGUUUAUUUGACACGGCACGAUACAAAUUAUGUUUAACUGAGCCAAGUACGCCAAGCCAAAAUGUAUUCAUUUGUACGUGGCUAACCAGUGAUGUUCUAUUUGAGUAGUUUUGGUCUGAGGUGUCUGCGUAAACAUAGAGAUGCCGAGUCUUCGUUUUAGUGUCUCCAGCCGGGUGUAUCUUUCUCAUUCAGUUUGUGACAGAAAUUGUAUUCUAGCAAAUAGAUAAAAGAAAUCAAAUUUUAAUGCCAGCAUUAAAUAUAAAUCCGUAUAGCUGUGUCAUGUACUGGAGAUCACCGCUUCCCAGAAUGUCUCUAACGGGUACGUUCGGUUGUUUUCCUCGGGCCCGAAGGGAAUCUAUAAGCUCAGACCUAACACCACAGUAUUCGGUACACGACCAAACAACAUGCUCGAUGUCAUGGUAGCCAUCGCCACAAACGCAGUGAUUACUGUCUACAAGCCCUAUACGAAAGAGAUGCGUGUUUAACGUGUAGUGAUUGGACAUAAGUCUGGACAUCACGCGAAUGAAGUCGCGACCUACAUCCAACCCCUUGAACCAUGCUUUCGUCGAUACUUUAGGAAAAAUGGAAUAUAGCCACCGUCCCAGUUCAUCUGAGUUCCAUGAUGAUUGCCAACUGUUGAGUGUUUUCUGACGCAAAAUGCUAUAAAAUUCACCAUCAGCAAUUGGUCUUACAUAAAUAUCGCCAUCAAUAGCACCCACCUUAGCUAAAGCGUCAGCCUCUUUAUUGCCCGGAAUGGAACAAUGAGAAAGGACCCACGCUAAGGAAAUACGGGGUGUGCUUCACAGUCUUCAUCGAUCGCAGAGCCUCAAUGGCACUGAGACUGUCUGUGAAGAUGAAGUAGUGGUCUAUGGGCAGGGCUUCGAUGAUCCCAAUAGAGUACUGAAUAGCAGCAAGUUCUGCGACGUACACGGAAGCAGGAGCAUCGAGUUUGUAGGAGGCGGUAAAGUUUUCGUGGAAAACACCGAAGCCAGUGGACUCAUCUAGAUUAGAUCCGUCAGUGUAAAACCUUUUAUCACAACUAACAUGUUUAAACUUAUUGGAAAAAAUCUUAGGGAUCUCUUGGGGUCGCAAUUGAUCCGGGAUACCAGAAAUGUCUUGUUUCAUGG